UCUCCAUGAGGUGCAGUGGAGCAUUUGUCUUCCUCAUUCCUGAUUAGGAUCAAUUCCACCUCAUGAGAAGCUGGGUUGGGCUCUGUAGUCCACAGGGUACGGACAAGAAGCCCCAAGGCCAUGCUUGUGAUGUCGGGGCAAGAGACUAGUAGUAUCUCAACCUCAGGUCAAACCUUACCUCCAAUAGCUAGUCAGCUGUCAAGUUGUCCUGAGGGG